GUUGUUCAGUGAUAUGGGCAACAAAUUCUUCCAUCCAGACAGGCUUGCUUCUCACCCUGGUGCUCUUCCUCGUUUCAGACUCUUGGGGGAUGAUGUUUGGUAAGGGAAUUUCUUCUCUUCUUUGUAACUGGUUUUCAGGUGUGGUUGUUGUGUCGAUGCUUGGUAUUAAUAGUGGUGUGUCAUGAUAAUCUGGUUUAAGGUGUUGUGUUUGGUAUUGGUGAAUAUGUU
rnacentral:lncRNA from 1 species